UCUUGACAGUGGUCAGGAAAAAAAAAGCUUAUUUUCAAUUUAAGUAUUAUUUAAGCUGAAACCUAAAGAAUGAGCAGAAAGUAGGCAGGCAGAGAAAGGGAAAAAGAAGGCUCCAGGUUGAAGGGAAAGUCUCCCCAAAACUUAAAAGCCCAUGAGUAAGAGAGGACAGGGCUUGUUAGCAAAAUCGAAAGGAAAAAAAGUCACAGCAAGAGCACAAACAAGGUGGAAGCAGGGGAAACAGCGUUGGGAAACAAGCAAGACCCAGAGGUUACAGCUUGUAAACUAAGUAAAAGAGGCUGGGAUUGGCCCUGAGGGCAAGGAAGGUUUGAAGGCAAGGUGCAGUGUGAUUGAUCCUAAUCGGUUGUUAAAAAGAGAGUGGAUGGUAGCAACACAGAUCAGAGGUGGAUGCAGUAACCUGGUAAGAAAAGAGCAAGGCUUGGACUGGGAAUAGCAAGAGGAACCGAGUAGGAUUUGGAUGCUAGAGUAAUAUGAUUUGGAUGAACCGAACUCAAAGGGACCAGGAGAAGAAAAGGGCAGAGAUCAUCAUACAGCCUCCAAGAAUGCUUUGCACAUAACAGCUGCUCAAUCAAUAUUUGUGGUACAAAUGAACCUAUAACAAGUAAAAGAACAAGAAGCAGAGGAGAGUAGACUUUUGGAGAUCCCUUCCAAGAUGCUUUCUUGGAGAAAUUAACAGCUAAGACACUGCAAAGAUCUAUCUUCUGGGACUGAAGAGAAGCUUUUAUCACACAUUUUCUGCCGCUCAAACUGUACAGAUGAAGCCAGAACUCAUUUUACCCAACUCCCAGCAGUCAACUGAGGGCAGACUCCCUCUACAGGUGGCUGCCAACAACUCCUCCCCUUCCUGGAUGUGCAUGCAGUUCCUCCCAUCAAGAGAU